GGUUGCCAUAGCAACGGGUUUCGAAAGAAUUGCUAGGAAUAAAAACUAAUUUUUAAAGCCUCACAUCCAACGACGGCGGUGCUCAGGUGCUUGAUAUAGCACAUCACGUACCUUCACAACAAUCGAUCAGCAAAGCAGUCUGGCCGUAGAACCUUACGUUAUCCAAUUUUCCAAUCGCUAAAUCAGAUCUUCGCUACAAUCUCUUGACUGAACCGACUUCAGAAAAGAAGGAAGAAAAGGGAAAAAAUUAAGAUUAAAUACAAUGAAAUUCUAUAUACGUUAGGAAUAUUCUCGACUAAAAUUCUGUGCCAAGAAUUUUAAAUAAAUGCGAUGAAGCUGGGAAAAAAUGGGAACAUUUCGUUCAGUGAAAUUCCUUACGUUCUAUGGAUGACUAUCUGCAAUGCUAAUCAUACUCUGUGUCUGCCAAAAUCACGCCAAGAAUGAGCAGAUGUCAAGAAGGAGAUAGACAGACCAGCACAGCUUGGCACCUCCCUGCUUAUUCUUUAUAAAACUUCCUCCUAUCAGCAGUUGCUCAUAUCCAGAUUCUUUCGAAAAAAUAAAUAAACUUAUGGUUUAUUUAAAUAUAAAUGGAUGUUUUCUUUAAGUAUUGGCACAUAAAUUUUGAAUAUUUAAAAUAAUCUAUAAUACUUGGCGAUAUUUUCCAAAAAUACUCGGAACCGAACGUGAUUAAGUUGUAAAAAGGACUCUUUUAUAGUUUUAUUAGCAUUUCUCCAUCCUUUAAAUGUAAAAUAGAUCAUUAUAGUGAGGUUGGCAUGUUCUCAUAUCGAUAACGAUUUUUAGUUUUGGUAGUGGUCAUGGAUUGACCCUCUCUUAUGACAGAAAUAAUGUGGUAGACCGCUAACCAUGGCAUCCACGGCAUUUGGGAUAAAGUGAACUUUAAUAAAAUACCGAAGCUUAUAGUCAGAAUCCACAUGCUUUAGGAUAGAAAAGUGGAGAAAAAUUUUGAAAGUAAUUGAAGUUUUAGUGCAGUGACCCACUCGGUCUGAUAAAAUUUCUGUUGAAACCAACUUGCCAAAGAUUUAAUUAAAACUGGACAAUGUUGGGGCGGGAUCUCUUUGAUGUAUGGACCGAGGGCGGGAAUAUGGGUGCUGACUGUCCAAGUUGGAAUGUCCAAACCCAAUAUACAGUUCACAUAUAACAAAGCAUACGAAGCGGAAUGAAUAGUUUUCCUUUACAAAGAAGGCAUUCUCACUUUAUAUAUAUAUUUGUGCGAGUGUCGGACAAAAAAUAAAGUAAUUUAUCCUCUUGUACCCUUUAGCUCAUACCUGAAAUUGCUGGAAGGAAAUUUAAUUUAUAAUUUCUUUACUUUAGAAUGAAUGCACAAAAUAGAAAUUUGCGAGAGCUUCUUCUCCUUUUAUCAUUUCACAACGAAAAUAAAGCACAAGUCAAGGUUAACACAAGCCAAGUUAUUUUAUUAUUAAACG